GCGAAAACUUUACAAUGCUGGCAACAGCGAUAAGGGAACCUCGAGUGCCAGGUUACCAAUCUGGCUGUCGUGAUGCCUAAAAAGCAUUGCAUAGCAAGGGCCGGGCAAGACCGGUGCCAGCCGCCGCGGUAACACCGGCGGCUCGAGUGGUAACCGUUAUUAUUGGGUCUAAAGGGUCUGUAGCCGGCCGGAUAAGUCUCUUGGGAAAUCUGGCAGCUUAACUGUCAGGCUUUCAGGAGAUACUGUCUGGCUCGAGGCCGGGAGAGGUGAGAGGUACUUCAGGGGUAGGGGUGAAAUCUUGUAAUCCUUGAAGGACCGCCAGUGGCGAAGGCGUCUCACCAGAACGGACCUGACGGCAAGGGACGAAUGCUAGGGGCACGAACU
rnacentral:rRNA from 1 species